rnacentral:rRNA from 1 species
AUUGAACGCUGGCGGCAUGCUUUACACAUGCAAGUCGAACGGUAACAGGGAGCUUGCUCCGCUGACGAGUGGCGAACGGGUGAGUAAUAUAUCGGAACGUACCCAGAAGUGGGGGAUAACGUAGCGAAAGUUACGCUAAUACCGCAUACGAUCCACGGAUGAAAGUAGGGGACCUUCGGACCUUAUGUUUUUGGAGCGGCCGAUAUCUGAUUAGCUAGUUGGUGAGGUAAAGGCUCACCAAGGCGACGAUCAGUAGCUGGUCUGAGAGGACGACCAGCCACACUGGAACUGAGACACGGUCCAGACUCCUACGGGAGGCAGCAGUGGGGAAUUUUGGACAAUGGGCGCAAGCCUGAUCCAGCAAUGCCGCGUGAGUGAAGAAGGCCUUCGGGUUGUAAAGCUCUUUUGUCAGGGAAGAAACGGGAGUGGCUAAUAUCCAUUCUUAAUGACGGUACCUGAAGAAUAAGCACCGGCUAACUACGUGCCAGCCGCCGCUGUAA